UACGUAGGGAGCAAGCGUUGUCCGGAAUCAUUGGGCGUAAAGCGCGCGUAGGCGGCCAGAUAAGUCCGGUGUGAAAGUCACAGGCUCAACCUGUGAAUGCCGCUGGAAACUGUCUGGCUAGAGUCCGGGAGGGGCGAGUGGAAUUCCUGGUGUAGCGGUGAAAUGCGCAGAUAUCAGGAGGAACACCAAUGGCGAAGGCAGCACUCUGGGACGUGACUGACGCUGAGACGCGAAAGCGUGGGGAGCAAACAGG
rnacentral:rRNA from 1 species